rnacentral:ncRNA from 2 species
CCUUCGCGACUUGUUUCAGGUGCUCUGUGGGCUGUGGUCUGGCAGGGUGAAACAGGGAAGCCGGUGGGUGCGCAAUUGCGUGCGAGUCCGGCGCUGCCCCCGCAACGGUAGGUGAGUCAAGGCCGCGCAUGGCCACUGGGUGAUCGCACCCGGGAAGGCGCGCGACCCCGGGUGUUGAUGACCCCGCUCACAAGCCCGGAGACCGGCCUGUAACAGUCAACGGCA